rnacentral:tRNA from 1 species
GGCUCCGUAGCUCAGUUGGCAGAGCAGCUGACUCUUAAUCAGCAUGUCGCAGGUUCGAGCCCUGCCGGAGUCACCA